AAAAAUUACUUUUUCAUUUAUAAAUGUUAGCGUUUUAUUUUAAAGUAUCGCUUGUUUUUUAGAGAAGGCAGAGAAACCAAUUCCCUUUGUAGUUGAAGAUAGUGAAGAGAAGGCAGAGAAACCAAUCCCCUUUGCAGUUGAAGAUAGUGAAGAAGAGACAGAUAAUCAUAUAAAAAGCUCGGUAGUUAAAGACAGUGAAG